AAUGGCGCAUACAAAGAGAAGCGACCUCGCGAGAGCAAGCGGACCUCAUAAAGUGCGUCGUAGUCCGGAUUGGAGUCUGCAACUCGACUCCAUGAAGUCGGAAUCGCUAGUAAUCGUGGAUCAGAAUGCCACGGUGAAUACGUUCCCGGGCCUUGUACACACCGCCCGUCACACCAUGGGAGUGGGUUGCAAAAGAAGUAGGUAGCUUAACCUUCGGGAGGGCGCUUACCACUUUGUGAUUCAUGACUGGGGUGAAGUCGUAACAAGGUAACCGUAGGGGAACCUGCGGUUGGAUCACCUCCUU
rnacentral:rRNA from 1 species